AUUGAACGCUGGCGGCAGGCUUAACACAUGCAAGUCGAGCGGUAGCACAGGGGAGCUUGCUCCCUGGGUGACGAGCGGCGGACGGGUGAGUAAUGUCUGGGAAACUGCCUGAUGGAGGGGGAUAACUACUGGAAACGGUAGCUAAUACCGCAUAACGUCGCAAGACCAAAGAGGGGGACCUUCGGGCCUCUUGCCAUCAGAUGUGCCCAGAUGGGAUUAGCUAGUAGGUGGGGUAAUGGCUCACCUAGGCGACGAUCCCUAGCUGGUCUGAGAGGAUGACCAGCCACACUGGAACUGAGACACGGUCCAGACUCCUACGGGAGGCAGCAGUGGGGAAUAUUGCACAAUGGGCGCAAGCCUGAUGCAGCCAUGCCGCGUGUAUGAAGAAGGCCUUCGGGUUGUAAAGUACUUUCAGCGGGGAGGAAGGGAGUGAGGUUAAUAACCUUAUUCAUUGACGUUACCCGCAGAAGAAGCACCGGCUAACUCCGUGCCAGCAGCCGCCGUAACAC
rnacentral:rRNA from 1 species